UCCCAGCGGUCCAAGUCGCAACCACAUUUAUUGGGUCUAAAACAUCCGUAGCUUGCCUUUCAAGUCUUUUGUGAAAUUCUGACUCUUAAGGGCAGACAUUGCAAUAGAUACUGUUUGGCUAGAGACAGGUGGGCGUAAGAAGUACAUCUGAGGUAGUGGUAAAAUACGUUAAUCUCAGGUGGACUAACGAUUAGCGAAGGCAUCUUACGAUGACUGUUCUGACAGUGAGGGAUGAAGGCUAGGGGCGCAAAUU
rnacentral:rRNA from 1 species